GACGAACGCUGGCGGCGUGCUUAACACAUGCAAGUCGAACGGAAAGGCCCUGCUUUUGUGGGGUGCUCGAGUGGCGAACGGGUGAGUAACACGUGAGUAACCUGCCCUUGACUUUGGGAUAACUUCAGGAAACUGGGGCUAAUACCGGAUAGGAGCUCCUGCUGCAUGGUGGGGGUUGGAAAGUUUCGGCGGUUGGGGAUGGACUCGCGGCUUAUCAGCUUGUUGGUGGGGUAGUGGCUUACCAAGGCUUUGACGGGUAGCCGGCCUGAGAGGGUGACCGGCCACAUUGGGACUGAGAUACGGCCCAGACUCCUACGGGAGGCAGCAGUGGGGAAUAUUGCACAAUGGGCGGAAGCAUGAUGCAGCAACGCCGCGUGCGGGAUGACGGCCUUCGGGUUGUAAACCGCUUUCGCCUGUGACGCAGCGUGAGUGACGGUAAUGGGUAAAGAAGCACCGGCUAACUACGUG
rnacentral:rRNA from 1 species